rnacentral:rRNA from 1 species
AACUGUACAAAGGUAGCAUAAUCAUUUGUCUUUUAAUUGAAGGCUGGUAUGAAUGGUUGGAUGAGAAAUAUACUUUCUUUAUUUUAUAUAAAAAAAUUAAUUUUCUAGUCAAAAAGCUAGGAUAAUUUUAGAGGACGAGAAGACCCUAUAGAACUUUAUUUUCUUUUUUAUAUAAAUUUUAUAGGUUUAGGAAAAUUAUAUAUUUAUGUUAAUUGUGUUGGGGUGACAGAAAAAAUUAUAUAACUUUUUCUAUUUUUUGCAUUUAUAUAUGUUUUUGAUCCUUUAUUAUGGAUAAUAAGAUUAAGUUACCUUAGGGAUAACAGCGUUAUUUCCUUUGAGAGUUCAUAUCGAUAAGGGAGUUUGCGACCUCGAUGUUGGAUUAAAAUAAGUGGCAAGAGCAGAAUAUUGCUUGACUGGGUCUGUUCGACCCUUAAAUUUUUACA